AAGGCAACUGGCGGAGUGGCGGCUCCACCAGAGCCUGGGAGCUGCCCCCGCCCCCGAGCCGCGAGCCCCGCGCCGGGCCGGGGAGUCCCCGGCGCCACACGCCCCCACCACCCCCAUCUUAGCGCCCCCCACCCUCUAUGGAGACAUUUCAACCAGGGAGAAGGGAAGUCCUGCCCUUGCCCCUCGCCCCCGCCCUGCUCCUCCAACAGGGGAGACUUCUGUCCAAACCUUGGAAAGAAACGAGAUGCCAGGCCUAGCGCCUUCGGGGAUCCUCUCUGGACAAGGCCACAGGGUGAAAACACCAGCUGCCUCUCCUUCCCCAGCACAGUCUGGACCUGGGCGGACUUUUUGGAAAAGCUUCUGGAUGCCACGGACUCCACGACCAACCAACUAGGUUGCUGCUGCUUGCAAACAUCGCCUCCAUUGAAGGAUUCCUGCAGCCACCAGCUCUGGAACUUUCUGGAACC
ensembl:lncRNA novel transcript